AGGAAAGAAAGCUCCCGCCAGCCCUGCAGCCCGCGGGCCUUUGUCCAGCAUCAUCCGAGGACGUGGAAACGCCUGGGGAUUUAGCCGCUCGGGGUGCACAAAGGAGGGAGAAGGAAAACCACCCAAACGUGAAGGUUCCCGAGGGCCCUGGCUCAGGGAGCCCCAGGCCCUGCUCAGCAGAGCAGACCCUCUCCUCCACUGGCGGACGUUUCCUGGGACCCCAGCUCACCCCUGAACGUGACACAUGCAGAGGCUCCAAGCCCCAGCCAUGGAUUUUUCCCGAUCUCCCGCGGGUUGGCUGCUUUGCUCUUUUGAGGGAGACACUGGGGAGCACACCAUUCCUGAGGCAGCCUCACUGGACGCGCUGCUGUUGUUGUCUGGGGUGGCAGGGAGCAAAGUCACCUUCCAGUGCCAAGAUGCCCCAUUACGAGUGUCGGGGCGAGAGGAGGAGUGGGAGGUGUUGCCCAGCUUUCCGUCAUCUGCACCAUCGCUGACAUCCCACCAACCACUCAAGUCAUUAGUGCACGUCUACAGUGGGAAGGGGCCGCCCUGGGCCAAGUCACCGUGGUCGCUGAAUCUCAUAAUUCAAUGUCAUGUCCUCCCACGUCACACAGAAGGUAGCUGUGUCAGUCCA